rnacentral:rRNA from 1 species
AACGAACGCUGGCGGCAUGCCUAACACAUGCAAGUCGAACGAGACCUUCGGGUCUAGUGGCGCACGGGUGCGUAACGCGUGGGAACCUGCCCUUAGGUUCGGAAUAACUCCCCGAAAGGGGUGCUAAUACCGGAUAAUGUCUUCGGACCAAAGAUUUAUCGCCUUUGGAUGGGCCCGCGUUGGAUUAGCUAGUUGGUAGGGUAAAAGCCUACCAAGGCGACGAUCCAUAGCUGGUCUGAGAGGAUGAUCAGCCACACUGGGACUGAGACACGGCCCAGACUCCUACGGGAGGCAGCAGUGGGGAAUAUUGGACAAUGGGCGAAAGCCUGAUCCAGCAAUGCCGCGUGAGUGAUGAAGGCCUUAGGGUUGUAAAGCUCUUUUACCCGGGAUGAUAAUGACAGGACCGGGAGAAUAAACUCCGGCUAACUCCGU